GCUCGUCUUGCUGGACGGUUGACAGCUUGAACUGACGUUUCAUUGUGUUUGAAAUUUUCACGCUUCAAACAAGUCGCUCUGUUUCUGCUGCUACUUUUUCAUUUAUAAUCAGUUAAUUUGCCAAUAAACGCAGAAAAUUUGGUGAAAAUGUGAAAAAAGCUUGCUGCUCUUCCCGCUGGCCCUGCGGAAGGCUAAUUUGGCUGAGAUUUUACAAGUUAGCCAUCUCCUAGUGGACUGAAUCAACUGGAACCGGCCCUCAAUGUUCUCCGCCGUGAAAUCAUUUUGUUUCUUCGAAACAGGUUCAUCAAUCAACUCGGAAGUGCGAGAGCUCGAGCCUCGUUGCCGAGCCAUGGAUGGCGCCGCGAAAGUUCUCAAUUCUUGAAUGUUCCGCCCUGAAGGAUGCCCAACACAGGAAAAGAAAAUAAUUUGGAAAUAAAUAAUGCUGUGUGGAAACGC
rnacentral:lncRNA from 1 species